UACGUAGGGCGCAAGCGUUAAUCGGAAUUACUGGGCGUAAAGCGUGCGCAGGCGGUUGUGUAAGACAGAUGUGAAAUCCCCCGGGCUCAACCUGGGAACUGCAUUUGUGACUGCACAGCUGGAGUGCGGCAGAGGGGGGAUGGAAUUCCGCGUGUAGCAGUGAAAUGCGUAGAUAUGCGGAGGAACACCGAUGGCGAAGGCAAUCCCCCUGGGCCUGCACUGACGCUCAUGCACGAAAGCGUGGGGAGCAAACAGG
rnacentral:rRNA from 1 species